rnacentral:tRNA from 1 species
GUUUUAAUAGUAAAAAAAGCAGAUAACUUAAAUAUAAGAUUAACUUAAAAUAUAAGAGAGACCUUAUAAAUAUAUAUUAUAUAUAUAAGUAUUUUAGGUUUUUAGCAUAACUUAAUAUAAAUUAUAGCUAUAAAAUUAUAAUAAUAUAUAAGGUUUAAUUAUAUAAUAAUAGUUAAAGCUAUUAUAAAGUA